rnacentral:rRNA from 1 species
GACGAACGCUGGCGGCGUGCCUAAUACAUGCAAGUAGAACGCUGAAGGAGGAGCUUGCUCUUCUGGAUGAGUUGCGAACGGGUGAGUAACGCGUAGGUAACCUGCCUGGUAGCGGGGGAUAACUAUUGGAAACGAUAGCUAAUACCGCAUAAGAGUAGAUGUUGCAUGACAUUUGCUUAAAAGGUGCAAUUGCAUCACUACCAGAUGGACCUGCGUUGUAUUAGCUAGUUGGUGAGGUAACGGCUCACCAAGGCAACGAUACAUAGCCGACCUGAGAGGGUGAUCGGCCACACUGGGACUGAGACACGGCCCAGACUCCUACGGGAGGCAGCAGUAGGGAAUCUUCGGCAAUGGACGGAAGUCUGACCGAGCAACGCCGCGUGAGUGAAGAAGGUUUUCGGGUUGUAAAGGACUUUUGUCAGGGAAGAAAAGGGCGGGGUUAAUACCCCUGUCUGAUGACGGUACCUGAAGAAUAAGCACCGGCUAACUACGUGCCAGCAGCCGCGGUAAUACGUAGGGUGCGAGCGUUGUCCGGAUUUAUUGGGCGUAAAGCGAGCGCAGGCGGUUAGAUAAGUCUGAAGUUAAAGGCUGUGGCUUAACCAUAGUACGCUUUGGAAACUGUUUAACUUGAGUGCAAGAGGGGAGAGUGGAAUUCCAUGUGUAGCGGUGAAAUGCGUAGAUAUAUGGAGGAACACCGGUGGCGAAAGCGGCUCUCUGGCUUGUAACUGACGCUGAGGCUCGAAAGCGUGGGGAGCAAACAGG